GGUGAACGCUAGCGGCGCGCCUAACACAUGCAAGUCGAGCGAUCGGCUUGCCAAAGCCGCAAGGCCGAGGCAAGUACGGAGCGGCAAACGGGUGAGUAACACGUAGCCAACCUGCCUCCGCGACGGGGAUAACCCUUCGAAAGGAGGGCUAAUACCCGAUGGUCUCCUUGGGGCACAAGCCCUGGGGAGUAAAGGCACUCCGGUGCCACGCGGAGAGGGGGUUGCGGCCCAUCAGCUUGUUGGUGGGGUAACGGCCCACCAAGGCAACGACGGGUAGGGGGCCUGAGAGGGUGGCCCCCCACAUGGGGACUGAGACACGGCUCCGACUCCUACGGGAGGCAGCAGUGGGGAAUCUUGGGCAAUGGGCGCAAGCCUGACCCAGCGACGCCGCGUGGGGGAUGAAGCCCUUCGGGGUGUAAACCCCUUUUCUGGGGGACGAAUAAGGCGGGGAGGGAAUGCCCCGCCGAUGACGGUACCCCAGGAAUAAGCCACGGCUAACUACGUGCCAGCAGCCGCGGUAAGACGUAGGUGGCGAGCGUUACCCGGAUUCACUGGGCGUAAAGGGCGCGUAGGCGGUUCGGCAAGUCGUCUGUGAAAGUCCCUGGCUCAACUGGGGGAGGUCGGACGAAACUGCCGGGCUGGAGGACGGCAGAGGAAGGUGGAACGACCGGAGUAGCGGUGAAAUGCGUAGAUACCGGUCGGUAUCCCGAUGGCGAAGGCAACCUUCUGGGUCGUUCCUGACGCUGAGGCGCGAAAGCGUGGGGAGCAAACC
rnacentral:rRNA from 1 species